rnacentral:rRNA from 1 species
GUCCACAUCGACGGGGAGGUUUGGCACCUCGAUGUCGGCUCAUCACAUCCUGGGGCUGUAGUAGGUCCCAAGGGUUGGGCUGUUCGCCCAUUAAAGUGGUACGCGAGCUGGGUUCAGAACGUCGUGAGACAGUUCGGUCCCUAUCCGUCGCAGGCGUAGGAAAUUUGAGAAGACCUGUCCUUAGUACGAGAGGACCGGGAUGGACGUACCUCUGGUGUACCAGUUGUUCUGCCAAGGGCAUGGCUGGGUAGCUAUGUACGGAAUGGAUAAGCGCUGAAAGCAUCUAAGCGCGAAGCCAACUUCAAGAUAAGAUUUCCCACCGCAAGGGUAAGACCCCAGAAAGACUAUCUGGUUGAUAGGUCGAAGGUGUAAGUGCAGCAAUGUAUUUAGCUUAUCGAUACUAAUAGGUCGAGGACUUGACCAAU